CAUGCAAUGAGCACAAGAUCUGGUCCCACUGCCUGGAUGGCUCCCAAACAGAUCAAGCCAAUCAACUGUCUCACCCAUUCAGAGGGCCUGAUCCAGUGGGGACCCCUCAGCCAUUGGUUCAUAGUUCAUGUGUUUCCAUUCAUUUGGCUAUUUGUCCCUGUGCUUUAUCCAACCUUGGUCUCAACAAUUCUCGCACAUAUAAACCCUCCUCAUUCUCGCUAAUUGGACUCCCAGAGAUCCACCCGGGGCCUAGUCAUGGAUCUCUGCAUCCAGAUCCCUCAGUAGUUGGAUGAGGUUUCUAGCACAACAAUUAGGGUGUUUGGCCAUCCCAUCACCAGAGUAGGUCAGUUCGGGCUGUCUCUCGACCAUUGCCAGCAGUCUGUUGUGUGGGUAUCUUUGUGGAUUUCUGUGGGCCUCUCUAGCACUUUGCUUCUUCCUAUUCUCAUGUGGUCUUCAUUUACCAUGGUCUCCUAUUCCUUGUUCUCCCUCUCUGUUGUUGAUCCAGCUGGGAUCUCCCGCUCCCCCAAGCUCUCUUUCCCUCGACCCUCGUCUUUCAUUACCCCCACUCAUGUCCAGGCUGUUCAUGUAGAUCUCAUUCCAUUUCUCUGUCAUUGGGCGAUCCCUGUGUCUUUCUUGGGGUCCUGUUUUCCAGGUAGCCUCCCUGGUGAUGUGAGUAGCAGACAAGUCAUCCUUGUUUCAUGUCUAGUAUCCUGCUAUGAGUGAGUACAUACCAUGUUUGUCUUUCUGAGUCUGGGUUACCUCACUCAGGAUGAUUUUUUCUAGAUCCAUCCAUUUGUCUGCAAACCUCAUGAUGCCAUUGUUUUUCUCUGCUGAGUAGUAUUCCAUUGUGUAUAUGUACCACAUUUUGUUUAUCCAUUCUUCAGUUGAAGGGCAUCUGGGUUGUUUCCAUGUUCUGGCUAUUACAAACAAUGCUGAUAUGAACAUAGCUGAACAAGUGCUCUUAUGGUGUGGUUGAGCAUUUCUUGGGUAUAUGCCCAAGAGUGGUAUAGCUGGAUCUUCCUAAAUAGAACACCAGUAGCACAGACUCUGAGAGAAACAAUCAAUCAAUGGGACCUCUUGAAACUGAGAAGCUUUUGUAGAGCAAAGGAUAUGGUCAACAAGGCAAAGCGACAGCCUACAGAAUGGGAAAAGAUCUUCACCAACCCCACAUCUGACAGAGGACUGAUAUCCAGAAUAUAUAAGGAAUUCAAGAAAUUAGACAUCAAAAUGCCCAACAGUCCAAUUAAGAAAUGGGCUAUAGAACUAAACAGAGAAUUCUCAACAGAGGAAACUCAAAUGGCCGAAAGACAUUUAAGGAACUGCUCAACAUCCCUAAUCAUCAGGGAAAUGCAAAUCAAAACAACUCUGAGAUACCACCUUACGCCUGUCAGAAUGGCUAAGAUCAAAAACACUGAAGACACCUUAUGCUGGAGAGGAUGUGGAGCUAGGGGAACUCUCCUCCACUGCUGGUGGGAAUGCAAGCUUGUACAACCACUUUGGAAAUCAAUAUGGCGCUUUCUUAGAAAAUUGGGAAUCAAUCUCCCCCAACCUGGACUCUUACUGGGCUGGGAAUGGGGCCAGCUCCAUCCCUGAGCUUGCUGUCAUGUGUGAAGUUUAUCUUGAGUGUGUUUUGGGUUAGAGCAACAUUUCUCUAGGAAGAAGCAUGGUAUGGUGCAGAUGUUUGGAUAUCUGGCAGGCAACAGUAACCUCUGAGCAGAUUUUUCUGCACAAAGAAGAUUUGUUUUAAGAGAAUCUGUUUUUUUUAUUUGAAAAUAUAUUUAAAAAUGGAAUAAUUGAUUUCUUAUUUUAAUUUUCUUUUUGUCAUUUUUGCAAAGUUUUAUAAUAUGAUAGAAAGAAAAUCUAUUUAUGUAAAUAAUAUACAAACAUAUUUUUCUCUUGGAAAACCUAGCUCUCAUAAUCACAAGAGAUAGACCUUACUGAUAUUUGGAAUCUCUGCAAAUAAUCUUGUCUUUGUCAGAAGUUUGAUUAGGAUUUGGAGCUGGGGAGAAAGCUCAGUGGGUAAGAGCACUAGCUGUAGACCUGAGUUCAAGUCUACAUCACCCAUAUAAAAUGUGGAUAUGGUGACAAAUGCCUAUAACCCCAGAAUAGAGGGGGUUGGAGAUGGAUAGAUCCUAGGAGCUCAUGCUGUGUGCUUAAAACCUGAACUAAACACCAUUUUCAUUCUAGUAGCAAAUAUUCCACUAGAUAUUAUUAAAGGAGGGAAGAUCAUAUUGACCUAUGAGUUAUAAGCACAGACAUUUUCACAGAACUAGUGUGUGUGUGUGUGUGUGUGUGUGUGUGUGUGUGUGUGUGUGUGUGUGUGUAAGGGUAACCGACAUUUAGAAUCAGGCCAUCACACAUGCCAAAACAAGCUCUUUAUAUCAAUACCUAUAUUCCCAUCUCCUAAACUAGUACUUUUUAGAGGUAGAAAAAUGGAUAGUGUUAUGGAAAAAUAGCAGUUAAUCAAGAGGUAGUUUUACCUUAAUGAUCAGCAUCCAGUCCUCUUUACCACCGCUUCACCUUGGCCAAACCAUUGCAUGUGAAUAAAUUUUAGCUUUUUAUCUGUAAGCUAGUGUAAAGCAAUGAACUUGAAUUAGAUGCUUAUUAACAUUCCUCCUGCUUUGACUUCAUGACAAUCUGGAGAUUGCAUUAACUUGCUGGAUUUCUCACAUGCUGACAAGCAGUAACCGUUGGUCCCUGCUUGAAUCUCAGCCUACCUUUUUAUUCCCCAGCGACUUGUACAUUUGUAUGAUAGCAAAGAAUUAAAAGUGGCCCAGAAUGCAAGAACCCAAACUUUGGUAUUGCUCUGCAAAUGAUAAAGGCUGCAAAAUUACCUGAAAUACUGCCACAAGAAGAAUAGCUGAGCUGAAGAUUAAAUUCUUCUGCCAAAUCAUAUUACAGUGUGGAGUCUUCCUGGAUCAACCUAUAAUGGCUACCUGCUUCUGUGUCCACAAUAGGUUUUCAACUACUUAAAUAGACAAUUUCUAAUCUGGGGAAAAGACACAUAUGAAAAUGUGUCUUGAACUUGUUUUUGUUUGUUUGUUUGUUUUGUUUUUCCUUCUUAAUCCAAAUGAAAUACAAGUCAGUCAGUUUUGGACCCAAAAUAACUUAUUUUCUAUAUUUCGUCUUCCUUCUUUCUUCUUUCUGAUAAGAAUUCACUUUUCUUCCUUGGAAAUCUGUUUAACACAACUUUAUUCAAAUUACUCUAAAACGUAUUUCAUUCUCCUGGAUGAACUCAUGAGUACAUUCCUGACAUAUCAUCACAAAAUUAUACAUAUUUUCUUCACAAACUCAAACUAAUAUUCAGAUCAGGUUAUGUUGGAUGAUGAGUUAGACUUUCAGUGGUGUUCGCCAUGCCCAGAGAGAUGCUUUCUCCUUCAAGAUGAGUUGCCAAUGAAUGUGCCAUCCUAACCAUGAAAAAUAGUAUUUUCCAGUUGAAAAUGCUGUUCUCCAUGUGAACUCUGAAAAGUAAAGCUGGUAAAGCCAUUGCUUGAGUUGAAUUUGGCAUCAGACUCCCGCUAAAGAGGCAUUCUGUGUUACUAUAGACAUUAGUGCUUUUAACAAAGGUCCAUAUUGUGAUUGUCCUAUCAAAUAACAAUGUUUGUUUUCACAUCACUGGAAAGAGAGCACUUUAGUAGGAGAGCUUUGAUUAUCUAUGCCCUUGUUUAAGAGGGAAGAAAGGGCAAAAUGAACAGUGAAAGUGGGACUUGAGGAGAGGAGGUGGCAUAGCCAGAGGGGUCUAACCCAGUGGGGAAGAACAUGUGAACACUGAUAAUGUUUGAAAUAAAAAGUAUGUGAUUAUUAUGAAAAUACCAGAUUCUUUCACCAUUUUAUUAUUUCUUUUAUUUCCUAAAACUAAUAUGAUUUAUUACUUACACCUGUGGGGGGUUUUCCCACUGUUCAACCCUCCCCGUACAUAGAAUAUCACUGCUCUGAAAACUGGUGACUGGGUUCUAAGUACCUUUCCACCUGGCACUACCACAUUUUGUUAAAAAGGUGUUAACCUUGAAAUGUCAGAUGAAAGAACCGUUUGUCCUAUCAUGAUUUUUUAAUGAUUUUCAAAUUAUAUAAGCAUUUAAUGUCAAGAUAUAUAAGAAUAUAUAAUUACAUAAUUUCCCUCUCCCCUUUUCCCUUCCAACACUCUAAAAAUGGUUUUUAAUUUAAUUAAUUAGAAACAUUUUGUGGGUUAUUUGUGUGUGUGUGUGUGUGUGUGUGUGUGUGUGUGUGUGUGUGUGCCUGUGUGUUAUCUGCCAUGUGUGUGCAGUUGCCUGUGAUUGCAAGAAGAUCCCCUGGAACUGGAGUUAUCAUGGUUAUGAGCCGCCCUGCAUGAGUUCUGGAAGUCAAACUUGGGUCCUCCAGGAGGAGCAGCAAGCAUUGUUAAAUACAGUCAUCUCUCCAGUCUCUUAUCUGUAAUUUUUACCUUGCCUCUUGUGAGGAUUUUGUCCCUCCAGAAUGUAGAAGUAGAGAAGAAAUGGAAGACCUGGAUUCCAGGUUCAAGCAAACCUCUACAAAAUCUGUGGCUUUGCUUCAAACUGAGUUUUCUUACUGGGGAAACAGCUUUGUUCAGAAACAGUAGAUGUUAAAUGACAUUAGACAGCAGACAACCUCAGACUAAGUUUGACAUUCAAACAUUUGGCUUUCAGCCUGUCAACCAAACAGAAGAAUUCUAAAAUGACCUUUGGGAGAUAUCUAGCCUUUUAGUUAGAAAAAGAAAUGCAAGCUCAUAUCCAAGUGGAAAUGUUUUUAUAAAUAAAUUUCACAUAACUGUUUGUAUGUAAGUAGACAACACUUCUCCAGAAAACAUGGAGGCUAAGACUGGAUAUUUAGUGGUCUUGUUGACAGGGGUAAAAUCAAUAGUCAUGCACAAAAAUUGUAGUGGAAUUUCUUUCUGUCCUGCUCAUGUUUAGGAAAGGAUCUUUCCAUUACUAAACUGAUUUAAAAUUUAUUGUGAGCUUCACUACACUAAAGUAAUCUAUGCCUACCUUCCACAUAGGAGAGGAAAAGAAGGGACUGUGCCUUACAAAACACUCCAUAUUCUAAAAAGGAAUAUGCACAUACACAUACACAACACGUAUGUUUUAUGUUAUUGAUUCCUUACCACGCCUGUUGUUAAUAGUUUGCUUGUUCUGAGUUAACUACCACCCCAACCCAGAUGCCCUUGGAGUAGCACAAGAUUGACACCGGCAGAAAGUAAAUAGACCCAGUGCUUGAAGAAGUGUGAGAGCCCGCACAUCCACCGAAUGAUGGAUCAGUGUGCAGGCAAUGACGAGAGAGGCACAGCCAUCACCACUCUCAGAAAUAUGGCGGACCACCUGACCAGAAGAGCAGGACUAUGCUCCAGAGUCAUUGACUGCCUUUGCUUCCUCUGUCUUCUCUCUACACAACUGGUUGGCUGCAGCUGAGAUGGAAGGUUGUUUCUAAGGUGUUACCUUGCUGUCUUCCCAGACUGCUGGUUCUCUAAGUGUAGAGUGGCACUGACAGAUUCACUUUCUGUCUCUGUUCAUAGCCUCUGUGGUGACAGGCAGCGAGGGACGAAGUAACACACUGGCUUGGGCUUAAUGAAGUCAAUGCCUAGUCAGCAUAAAUCUUCAGUUUCCAGAUGCCACAAUCAUAAUCAUUCGCAAGUCCACACAGGGAAGCAGAUUACCUCAGUGACUGCAGAGUGAACUGCUGAGAAAUUUGGCUGUGGCCUCAUCUCUGCCUUUUAUUUUAUGAAGACAGUCUGUUGAGAAGGGAUAUCCACUCAAAAUUCCUGCUUGUCCUGAUCACUGGUUUUCAGAGAUGUAAAGAAAGCUUAAUUCGGAAUUGUCCACAUUUUAUUCUUUUAGCUUCCCUCCGGCACCAAUGAUUUAAAAAGUUGACAGUGAAUUAAUCCACACUUCAUUGCACCGUACCACUACAACGUGCAGCGUCCCCUUUCUUCUUUCUGUUUGUCAUGACCUAAAACAAUAAAAAGUAUGAUGAAGCAUUGUCCACAGCAAUAGGGAUGCUGUGGAACGGCAGCUGUGUUUAGGUGAUUUGCUGUGGUGUAAGCAGCAGGGCCAAGCAACCAGAGUUCCAAGUCUGGACUGUCAUAACUGUUCAGCUCUGUUGUUGUGACACCAAAUAGCCAUGGGUAGUGUGCAAAAUACUAGUAUGGUUGUACUCCGGUGAACCCUUAAUUGUGAAUGUGUACAUCUGAAUUUCAUGCCAAAUUUCACAUGACAUACUUUAAUUUUUUUCUUCAUCAAUUUACAAAAGGCAAAUUCUAUUUUUAGCGCAUAAUUUAUAUAAAGCUAGCAGGCUGAAUGUAGCUUGCAGGUUCUGUGCUGAAGGUUUAUUUCUAAAUUAGGUAAGAUGAAUCUACUCUUUUGUUGUUAUUUGUAAUUUAGUGUUUUCCCUUUCUAUUCUUCGGUGGGAACUGGCAUGGCAGAUGGGUAUUUGGAUCUGAGAAGGAAAGGGAAUUCAGGUAUUUUCUAGACCAAUAUAAAUGAACUAAGAAUCCAUGUCUGCUAUGAGCAGGGAACAGCAGAAUUGUGUAAAUGAGAAGUGGCAUUUGUAUUUUUCCCAUUAGCUUUUCUUACUUUAAUUUUGAGUGUGUUUCAGAUUAAUAAGGUGAGAGACUAUCUAUGGAGAAAAAUAUAACACCUGUAAAAAGAUAAAUCAUUUCUACCAUACAUUCUUUUUUAAGGCCCCAAACAGUUUUAAAUUUAUUAAUAAUCUUCAUAUACUUUCCAUCACAAUUUGUAGUCCAAUAUCUGGCUUUUGUAGCAAAUUCUAGACAAUUGAAGAAAAUAGUAAAAUCUAUUUUAAUUAAAUUUAUUUGAAAUCUGGAACACAGAUUCCCCUCCCUCCUCUCCUCCCAUUCCCUUCCCCACCUCCACUCUGCACCAACCUCCCAAUCCACUCCUUGCCUGUUUUUGUUAAGAAAGGGGCAGGUCUCCCAUUGAGAUCACCAAAGCAUGGCAUAUCAAGUUGCAGUAAGACUAAGCACCUCCUCUUGUAUUAAGGCUGGGCAAGGCAACCAAGUAUGAGGAAUAGGGUCCUAAAGGUCAGUGAAAGAGUCAGAGUCAGCUCCUGUUCCCACUGUUAGGAGUCCCACAAGAAGACGAGGCUACACAACUGUCAUAUAUAUGUAGAGGGCCUAGGUCAGACUCAUGUAGGCUCCCUGGUUGUCAGUUCAGACACUGUGAGUUCAUACAAACCCAGGUUAGUUGUUUCUGUGAGUUUUCUUGUGAUGUCCUUGACCCCUCUGACUCCUACAGUCCUUCCUCUCUCUCUUCAGCAGGAUUCCCCAAGCUGUGCCUAAUGUUUGGCUGUGGGUCUCUGCAUCUGUUUCCAUCAGUUACUGAAUGAAGGCUCUGUGAUGACAAUUGGGCUAUACACUGAACUAUGAGUAUAGCAGAAUAUCAUUAUGCAUCAUUAUGUUGAUGUUUUUUUCUCCAAUCAUCCUAGCAUUCCAGGUAGUGUCAGAGUGGGUUCCCUUUCCUGGCAUGGGUCUCAGGCUGGACCAGUCAUUGGUUGGCCGCUCCCACAGUCUCUGAACAACCCAGCACAUUCCAUAGGCAGGAAAGAUUGUAGGCCAAAGGCUGUGUGGCUGGUUCGUGUCCCAGUUCCUCCACUGAAAGUCUUGCCUGGUCACAGGAGCCAGUUCAGGCUAUGUUCUUAAUGGGGGUCAUCCUUGUAGAUUCCGGGGAAUUUCCCUUGCACCAGGUUUCUGUCUGACCCCAAAAUGCAACACCUCUUCCAGUCAUCUUUCUCAGUACUCUCCCCCUUCAUUAACCUCAAACCCAACUGGAGGCAGGUAGAGAUGGGAACAUUGUACAAUCUUUGUGGCUUUUUUUUGUUUGUUUGUUUUAUUCAGUAUUCUUUUUUAUUGGUGUAUUCAUUGUACUAGGCCUCAUAUGAGCUAUGCUGGCCUUGACCUUCUGGGCUCAUAGGAUCCUCGAACUUGAGCCUCCCAACUGAGACAAGUACAUGCCACUACAUCUAGUUUAAAUGUUCUUUUCUAAAAGACAAAAAUACCAAGUUUCCCCUUUGCAUUGUAAAUCUUUAACUACUACACUGUUGAAAUUAUAUUGGUGAAAUUAAAUGUUAUAGCACCAUUUGUUCAAAGUGGACUUAAAACUGAGGUAGAGCAGUGUGCCAUUUAAAACAUUGAAAUGUAGACAUGGAGGAUCUGCCAAUUCUUCCAUUAAACACCGGCUACUCCCCUCCUCCCUGUGCCCGCCUGUUUCGGACUAUUUGUUUAACUAUGUAAAGAUGUGCUGCAUUUGUUUAUGUUGUGGAAUAUUUGUUUAACUAUGUAAAGAUGUGCUGCAUUUGUUUAAUUGUGUAAAGAUGUGUUGCUGUUUUACCUUGCCUGCCUAAGACACCUGAUUGGUCUAAUGAAAACCUAAAUGGCCAGUGUAAGGAUUAUGUCCUCAAUUACAUCACCAGAGUGCAACGGCGUCCCAGCCUAAAAAGCAGGCGUGCCCUCUCUUUUUCCACACUCUCUCCUCCCGUAUUCCCUUGCCUCCACGCAGUCUCUCUGUCUCUCUGUCUCUCUCUGUCUCUCUGUCUCUGUCUCUCUCUCUCUCUCUCUCUCUCUCUCUCUUUCCCAAUAAAGCUCUAGAAAGGUAA